GAGCAAGCCAUUGAAUAGUCCUAUAACCCAUGUUAUUGUGUUAGGCACCAUGAUCAUAAAGAAAAGCAUCCAGUAUAGGCUAGCUGCAUGCUGUUGUGCUGGUAUGUCUAAGUCUAAUUCAUAGUCACUACUAUUUUUGUGGUUGCUCAAGAUGUAUAAAUCAGUUGCUAUCUUCAUAAAUGUGAUCUUGCUUAGCACAAGACACAAAAGAACAGAUACAAACAGUACAAUUUGAACUAACCAUACAAGGCAUUUAAUCUUAGAUUUAGCUGCUUGAAAUAUUUUUUUGGUUUCUUUUUUAUAGGUUGGAGUUUGCUCACUAGCUGUGUUAUUGUCAGUUUCCUCAAGUGGUUCCUCUGGUUCCUCCAGUGGAGCCUGGUAUUGUAUUAUGCCAUCGACAUCAGUGUCGUCAAAUCUAGUAUCAUGCCCUGCUGAAGGCAGUAUUGGUACCUGUGCACACAAUAAUCACAUAACAAGAUUGUAUGAUAAUAAUCUGUCAUAGACUUAUAGUGUCAGACUUUGUAGUACCAAUAGGUAAAAGUGGGCUAUUAAUGAAAAAGAGGUCAAUUAAUUUAUAAACAUACUCAUAAAUAAGAGUCGAAGCUAAAGGGUGUGACAUGUCAUGAAUCUACACACAAAAGUGUUUGUGUGUACUCCUUUUUUACAUCAAAGUUUGGCAGAGUAUCGGUACCUGUGCGCACAAUAAUCACAUGACAAGACUGUAUAAUAUAAUCUGACAAUUACACUUGAUGAUUGCGUGUACAAUAAUCACAUCAAAAAUUUAUGCAAGACUGUUAUCAUAUUAACUGAAGUAACAGAUGAUUUAGAUUGCCUAAAAAGAAGCUGCACAAACAGUGCAAAAAUGGAUGUGGAUAUCAUAAUUGAGAACAAGAAGUAGUCUUUGCCGGAGAAGCUAGAUCUAGCUCCUUCAAUCAAGGCAUGAUAUAAGCACACAGCCAAGGAUAAAUUUAAUCUGUACUUUUGAGUUAAUACAAUUAUAUUUUACUGA